CACGUAGGGGCGAGCGUUGUCCGGAUUUACUGGGCGUAAAGGGUUCGCAGGCGGCCUUGUAAGUCAGAUGUGAAAGACAGCGGCUUAACCGUUGUAAGCAUUUGAAACUGCAGGGCUUGAGUACAGGAGAGGAAAGCGGAAUUCCUAGUGUAGCGGUGAAAUGCGUAGAUAUUAGGAGGAACACCAGUGGCGAAGGCGGCUUUCUGGACUGAUACUGACGCUGAGGAACGAAAGCGUGGGGAGCAAACAGGAUUAGAUACCCCGGUAGUCCCUGAG
rnacentral:rRNA from 1 species